rnacentral:lncRNA from 1 species
AGGAGGUUGCGGAUACAGAGUUUCCAUCUUCAGCCAAUCUUAAGGGAGGCAGGAGGGCACUCCUCCAAUGGGAACUGAGGAGCCGGCGGUAGUGGUCGAUUCUGGUGUCCGUGCUAGCGCUACAGCUAGCGACUUGGAAAGCAUCCAGAGGGUUCACGAGAUCUUACCUCGAUCGCCGUCGCGUUGGGCAGCUGCAGAGCCGAAAGGCCGGAGGUCCCCGGGUGGUGGAGGAUCAUUUGCGUAGCAAAAAGGGAAGGCGAGUGCUCCUGCAGCCCCCCCACCCCAGACGGUGAACAGGUGAGUACCCUGUUGAACCCACCACCCGUCCCCACCUUCCUCGGACCUUCCCAUCCCAGUUUCAGUAAAAGAUUCUGUACGGGUCUGUUGCUCACGUGAUCGUCUGUGUGCCAGUCUGACUCCAUGUCUGCCCCUAGCAACAGUCUCUUUUUCUCUCUGAGACAUACUAAGACAUCACAGACCCAGGAGGCGGAACCCUGAUCUGACCAGUUAAAAUUAGAUAUGAAACUUUGAGCUAUCUGCUUCACAUAUCUAUCUGGACCUCAGUUUCAUCAUCAGUCAAAUGGGGUCUAGUAGUCUCUACGUGAGACAGUGCACAUGCUUGGUCCCUAGAAAUUUUUUCAAUAAAUAAUGAUGGUCGUGACUGAAAAGAAUAUUGUUUCUCUUGUUCUGUCUUUGUGUUCCUUUUGUCUUUCUCUGACCCUCUCCCCACUGGAUCUUCUUUUUUGAAUGCUUCUGUCCCUCUGUCUUAUCUUUCCACUCUGAACCUAUCUCUUUCCCAUCCCUGAAGAGGUUUGAUGUGCACUAUUUAUAACAAUGAGAUUGGCCUCAGGCAGGGUACAAAAAUGGAACCUGGCCUUGGGCUGCUUCUAAAUCUCUUUGGGAAAAAAAGCCCUCUUUGGUGCUCAAUCUUUUCUGUUAAACAGCUAGAGACACCAAGGAUGGAGAGCAAAUUAGAUUAAAAGCCACUUUUUAGUUAGCUGUGCUGAUGCA